UACGUAGGUGGCAAGCGUUGUCCGGAAUUAUUGGGCGUAAAGAGCUCGUAGGCGGCCUGUCGCGUCUGCUGUGAAAUCCCGGGGCUUAACCCCGGGCGUGCAGUGGAUACGGGCUGGCUGGAGGCAGGCAGGGGAGAAUGGAAUUCCCGGUGUAGCGGUGAAAUGCGCAGAUAUCGGGAGGAACACCGGUGGCGAAGGCGGUUCUCUGGGCCUGUUCUGACGCUGAGGAGCGAAAGCGUGGGGAGCGAACAGG
rnacentral:rRNA from 1 species